rnacentral:rRNA from 1 species
CAGUCGCCGCGGUAAUACGUAGGUGGCAAGCGUUGUCCGGAAUUAUUGGGCGUAAAGGGCUCGCAGGCGGUUUCUUAAGUCUGAUGUGAAAGCCCCCGGCUCAACCGGGGAGGGUCAUUGGAAACUGGGAAACUUGAGUGCAGAAGAGGAGAGUGGAAUUCCACGUGUAGCGGUGAAAUGCGUAGAGAUGUGGAGGAACACCAGUGGCGAAGGCGACUCUCUGGUCUGUAACUGACGCUGAGGAGCGAAAGCGUGGGGAGCGAACAGGAUUAGAUACCCCGUAGUCCCUGUCUCUUAUACA